CUCAUCUGACAUUUCUGAUAAAGAUUUAAUGCUGAAGAGUUGUCCCCUCAUCUUCAAAGUUUCAGAGGGGCUCGACUAACUCACAGCUCUCGUCUUUCUCCUAUCUGGUAUAUACUUUCAAGUAAGAUGCUUGCCCUGCUCAGUGUCCUCCUGCUUUCAUCACAUGUCCUUCCUCUCGUCCAAUCACAGUCAUGCGAUGACAAAACAGAGUACUUAAAUGACAAAACAUGCUGCACAAAAUGUAAACCAGGAGAGUAUGUGUUAGAGAACUGCAUACAAAAAAUGCCUGUUACUCUGUGUGCCCCAUGUGGAAAUGGCUUCUUCACGGAUGACUAUAACAGCAAUUACAACUGGUGCUAUCAUUGUACAACGUGCUCCAAAGACCAUAUGAAGUAUGAGAAGAAUUGUACGGCGACAAGUGAUGCAGUGUGCACGUGUGUUGAAGGCUACAGAUGCAGAGACAGUAAAUGCCAGGAGUGUGAGAAGAUUCAGACAGCUACUGUUUCUUCUCCUGCUUCUACUAAAACAAUACCGCCCACCCAUGAUAUAAUGUGGAUCUCGGUGAGUCUGUGUUGUGCGUGUGUGUGUGUGUGUGUUCUGCUCACCUGUUUCCUUCUCAUCAGCAGACAUGCACGACAAUAUGGAUGGAUCAUGCCAACAUCACCCGGUCAGUGCUACUAUAGACAACACAUCAGUGCUUUAAUUCACAAAGAAAACCUGCUC
rnacentral:lncRNA from 1 species